GAUCUAUUGCUUUCAAUUUAUAAGUUUGAUCAACUGCUGCCAAAAGGAGAGUUUUAUCUUCAGAUAAAAAUGAUUGAAUAUGAUGGUUAAAGAUUUCUUUUAUUAUAAAACUCGCUAUUUUUGAAACAGACCCUUUAUCAGGAAAAGCAGUGCUUGUGCAUUCUUCCAAAAGUAUUCUGAUAAGUUUCUCACAUACAACAUUGAGAAGAAAAACUGAUUUUGAGGAGAGCUGUAGGUUAUUGUACAUGAAUCACUCCUACUAAGAGAUCCUGAAAGAGGUCAUCAAAGCCACCAGAAACUAUUCCUGGACAGAGGAGGUUUUAUAGGUGUGGUUGGUCUCCUUACUGACGUGUCAACUACAAAUGCACAGGGUUCUGCCUGAAAUGUUUUAGUUGUUGCAGAUGUGUAGCUUCUAUAUGUAAAGUCUUCACUGCACGUGCUACAGAAACUUGAACUAUCUGAAGAGAGGAUGGAGUCAUCAGAUACUGGGGUAAUCUAAAAACCAAAAUAAAUGCCUUGAGAUCUUUUCUGGGAAUGAAAAAAUACAAAGACAAGCUAAGAAGCUGGAGCAGGAAAUUGACUUCAAACUCUGCUUGGAGAAUCACCAGCUGCAAAACUGUAUGGGGCAAAUUUCUCAUAAGAGUAUAGAGGAUGUGACACUGUACAGAGUUCACACUCAUGACUCAAUGAUGAAAUGGAAACCAGGAAGACCUGAUUAUGCAUGUCUGUGAAACUCACCCAUGCCAUCUGGAAAGGAAAAAGUUAAGUUGCAUUUCUGCAAUACAUUCUCUCCCUUCCCUGAGCUGCUCCUGGAAUAUAAAGAAAGCAAGGAAAUAUUUACUGGGCCUUCAGCUUUCUGUACUACUUCGGAACAGCACUAGCAUCUAUCUCAGGGUUUAAAAUAUGGAAGUUCUUGCCUUCCUUGAAUCUUUUCUCCCAGAAAUAACAUAUUGGCUCUCUUCCCUGUGACAUGCCUCAUCUGACAUUGGCUGGCUUUCAUAUAAAACCUUUGUUUUAGCCUACUAUCAAUUCAACUUUUACAUUGACAAAACGUAAUUUUUGGUUGUCAAUGUAAAAGUUGACAUUUUUACAUUCAACUUUAAUUUAAAUGCUGAAUUUAAAUUUAAAUGCUGAAAAUUUAUUUAAACACUUAAAAUGAUAUUAGAAGAGGUAUUUUAUGUUUUUAAACAGAGAUAUAUUUCAUUUUUAUAUGCAGUCAACAGAUCACAUGUGUAUGUCUCUUAUGUGUUCCUGUGUGGGAAUAGCUUGAAUUACUACAUAAGUUCUCUGAGAAUAUUAAGUUCAUUUAGGGGAACAGGACAUAUCUAUAUGAAAAACAGAAAUAAUACUACAAACAAAAGAGAGAUCACGAGAUAACAUGUAAUUAAUUCUCAGUGAAUGACAUGUCAUGAAAUCAUCAGAAGAGAUGAGGAUAUGGGAAAAGCUUUAUGAAAGUAGUCAGAACCAUAAGGAAGAUUCGGUUUUGUUAAACAGAAAGACCUUUUUCCAUUGUGGUAUUAAGUUUAAUAUGAUUUUCAUUGUAUUAAAAUACUAAUGCAGUAAGUUGAAAAUAUAAUUGCAUUCUUUUCAUUUAAUCUAUUGUAAAAUAUAUAAUCAAAAUGAUAUACUUGUAAAAUAAUUACAUAUAUAAUAAAAUCAAUAUACCUGUAAAAGAAUCA
rnacentral:lncRNA from 10 species